AAGGGGAAGCAGGUGCAUCUUACAUGGUGGCAGGCGAGAGAGAGCAUGAGAGUGCAGUAAAAACUACCAUUUAUAAAACCAUCAGAUCUCAUGAGAACUUAUUUACUAUCAUGAGAACAUCAUGAAAGGAACUGCCCCCAUAAUCUACACUUCCCACCAGGUCUAUACAACACCUGGGGAUUACAAUUCAAGAUGAGAUUUGGGUGGGGACACAAAGCCAAACCAUAUCACCAUCCAUGUUGUUAUAAAUGACAGGACCUCAUUUUUUUGUAGCUGAAUAAUAUUCCAUUGUGUAUAUGUGUCACAUUUUAUCCAUUUAGCCAUUCUUUUUUCUCUUUUUGUGUGAGACAGGGUCUCAUAUUCUGUCACCCAGGCUGGAAUGCAGUGGCAUGAACACGGCUCACUGCAGCCUUGACCUUCUGAACUCAAGCAGCCCUCCCAUCUCAGUCUCCAGAGUAACUGGGACUACAAGUGCAUAACACCACAGCUGGCUAAAUUUUUUAAUUUUUUGUGAAGAUGGGGUCCUUCCAUGUUGCCCAGGCUGGUCUCGGACUCCUGGGCUCAAGCCACGCUCCGCUUUGGCCUCCCAAAGUGUUGGGAUUAUAGAUGUGAGCCACUUCACUCAGCCAACCGUUACUGAAAAUCUUGCACAUGCUGAAAGGGCCAACAUUUCUUGUGUCUUUAGAUCAUUGCACCUCGAGAUGUAAUGCCUGUCCCUAGAUCAUAGCAUUCAAUCUGGCCUCCUAGAUGUGUCAUUAUGUGGGAAUCCACUUCCUGAAACAACUUUUGGUAUUGUUGCA
rnacentral:lncRNA from 1 species